rnacentral:rRNA from 1 species
UACGUAGGGUGCAAGCGUUGUCCGGAAUUAUUGGGCGUAAAGAGCUCGUAGGCGGUCUGUCGCGUCGGAUGUGAAAAUCAGGGCUCAACCCUGGACCUGCAUUCGAUACGGGCAGACUAGAGUUCGGUAGGGGAGACUGGAAUUCCUGGUGUAGCGGUGAAAUGCGCAGAUAUCAGGAGGAACACCGGUAGCGAAGGCGGGUCUCUGGGCAAUAACUGACGCUGAGGAGCGAAAGCGUGGGGAGCGAACAGG